UAGUCAAAGAAUAAUCAAUCUUUCCUAGUUGAAGUCGCGAAAGAGGUUUUUGUGUUGCGGGUUUCGGUUAUAAAAAUAUUCACAGUUGUCUCCGUGGGGCCCUCUCUUGUGGGCCCGUCUACUCCUCCCGGACUGUGGGCCCUCCCGGCCCGGCCCGAUUUCGGACAAAUUUGGAGCUUCGCCGCCGCCGCUGCUCCCGAAAUGGUGUCGGUGUCGCAGCAGCAGCAGGCUUCAUUGUUCGCUCAUCACCACCGUCAGCAGCAGCAGCAAGCCAUCGGAGAAGCUUCGGCGGCGAGGGUGGGAAAUUACCUUCCUGGACAUCUGAAUUUGCUCGCCUCAUUGUCUGGUGGACCUGGGAAUUCUGGUCGGAGAGACGAUGAGCCUCGUUGAUUGUCACAUCUUCAACGGUGGUGGUCGGUGGUGUUGGUGUUUUUUUUCGUAUAUAUACAUAUUCUCGUGUUGUGGUUGCUGUUUUUGUUGUGUGUGGCAAGCAGGAGAUUCUUAGGGUUAGGUUUUUUCUUAGAUUUGAGUGGAGAAGUCCAUCGAUUAAGAAAUUAUUCAAUUAGGGUUUUUGUUUUACUUCCUGCUGGUUUGGAGAACUUAACUAGGUUUUUAGAUGUUGGAUAAUUGUUUUAGAUUCCGGGGCUUUGUUGGAGGAGAGGAGGGGAAAAAAAGGGGAGAAUGUAAUGAACUGAUGAUUUAAUUUGUGAAAUUGUCAUGGUGAGAAAUUUGUACCGAUUGAGGCUGGAAUUGGGUUUCAGAAGCUUGGUCCGUGUGCGAGUGCAGUUGAAUUUGCAAUGUAAUGUUGUACUCAAAGAGAGUUCUUCUAAGUUGAAGAGCAUGGAUUGGAUUGCAUUGUUGCUUCUGUUUCACUUUCAUAGUGGGUUAUUUUGGGCUUUGACUUACUGGGUCUACAAGUAUGGUGUGGUUGAAGUGGUUGCAGUUGAGGUAAUUAGUGCUUGCAAGCUUGUUUCUGAAGCCAGUGAAUUGUGUUUCCAAAGUUCAAUUGUCAGUCCCAGAAUGUUGGAGUACCCUACUUUCCAACAUGGGUUGAGAAUUCAUGUCUCUUGGAUGUUGUUGGGGCAUGUUUUGAGGGAUUGAGGUUCAUGUAAGGUGGUUAUGUUGUGAAUUUGGUGCAGCUCUCUGACUCUCUCCUCCACUUUCACGCUCCUUGAUGGUGUUUUGUUCGUUUUCAGAGGUGACUGGUGUGUGAAAGAUGAAAAAAAAAAAAAAAGCUCUGGUUGUACUCCAAUUCUAUUCCGGUGAGCGACUCUGAUGUGUUGGAGAUAAGACAGACCAAGGGGGUGAAGAUUUUGAGGCCUGAUACUGCUCUAGGAGCUGCGAGUAGUGGCGGUUCUGCAGAGCUGGGUGCUGUGGCGGCUAUUUACAUGCUGUUCCUUCAUGUAUCAAAUUUCAAAGUUCAAGCACUGGAGUUUGGACCUACCGUCAGAUGGAGAUAGUUGAAGUGGCUGUUGCCCUGUUUCAUGCAUCUGUUCUUGAAGAGUCUCAGCUGAUGAGAUAGAAGCUGGAAGAGCGAAACCGGGCACUGCAAAUAAUGCAAUGAUGGCCAGCCAGGCAAGGAAGUCGUUUCAGAAUGUCAUGAGCCAUGGAAUGCGGAGGGCUAUGCAUUGUAUUCUGGGGAUGCUGUCAUUGUUUCAAGAGGAUAAUUUGAGGUCUGAGCAGAAGAUUAUUGGUGAUAUAAUGUUGCCAGUUGGCCAUGUGCCCUCCUCUCCAGUUUGAUUAAUGAUGUAGUGGAAAUUGCAUAAAAUGAAAAGGGAGGCUUCCAGUUAGAGAUGAAACCUUUUCUUGAAAGUGAUGGUGGAGACAGGGAUGAUAAAAAUAUUGGAAUCUGGAGAUCAAGCAAUCAAAAUGAGUAUGUACAUAUAAAAUUUGAUUUUCAGAUGACUCAGAGAGUUCUUAGCCAGAUGAUGCAAUUUCAACAAUACAUUAUACUGGUAGGAGGCAGUACUACAACAAUGAACCUAAGGAGGGGUUGAGCUUCAGCAUGUGCAAAAAAGUUGGUACAGAUAGAUGCAUCAUUAUCUAUAUCUAAUUUGUGUAUCAUCAUCAUCUAUUUGAUUAUAGUCAGAUGUAUAAUUUCCCUGUUAACUUUUUAGCAGUAACUUAUAAAGGACACAUUUCUCCUCCUCUCUAGUGAAUUUAUGCGGUCAUCCA